rnacentral:rRNA from 1 species
GGGUUGUGAGGUUAAGCGAAUAAGCGUACACGGUGGAUGCCUAGGCAAUCAGAGGCGAUGAAGGACGUGCUAAUCUGCGAAAAGCGUCGGUAAGGUGAUAUGAACCGUUAUACCCGACGAUAUCCGAAUGGGGAAACCCAGUAUCCAAUGGAUACUAUCAUUAACUGAAUCCAUAGGUUAAUGAGGCGAACCGGGAGAACUGAAACAUCUCAGUACCCCGAGGAAAAGAAAUCAACCGAGAUUCCCCUAGUAGCGGCGAGCGAACGGGGAGCAGCCCAGAGUCUUAAUCAAUAGCAGUGUCAGGAGAACGGUCUGGAAAGUCCGGCAGUAAAGGGUGAUAGCCCCGUAUCUGAAGAUGCUGUUGUUGUGAACUCGACGAGUAGGGCGGGACACGUGUUAUCCUGUCUGAAUAUGGGGGGACCAUCCUCCAAGGCUAAAUACUCCUGAUUGACCGAUAGUGAACCAGUACCGUGAGGGAAAGGCGAAAAGAACCCCGGCGAGGGGAGUGAAAAAGAACCUGAAACCGUGUACGUACAAGCAGUAGGAGCCUCUUUAUGGGGUGACUGCGUACCUUUUGUAUAAUGGGUCAGCGACUUAUAUUCUGUAGCAAGGUUAACCGUAUAGGGGAGCCGUAGGGAAACCGAGUCUUAACUGGGCGAAUGAGUUGCAGGGUAUAGACCCGAAACCCGGUGAUCUAUCCAUGGGCAGGUUGAAGGUUGGGUAACACUAACUGGAGGACCGAACCGACUAAUGUUGAAAAAUUAGCGGAUGACUUGUGGAUGGGGGUGAAAGGCCAAUCAAACCGGGAGAUAGCUGGUUCUCCCCGAAAGCUAUUUAGGUAGCGCCUCGUGAACUCAUCUUCGGGGGUAGAGCACUGUUUCGACUAGGGGGUCAUCCCGACUUACCAACUCGAUGCAAACUGCGAAUACCGAAGAAUGUUAUCACGGGAGACACACGGCGGGUGCUAACGUCCGUCGUGAAGAGGGAAACAACCCAGACCGCCAGCUAAGGUCCCAAAGUCAUGGUUAAGUGGGAAACGAAGUGGGAAGGCUCAGACAGCCAGGAUGUUGGCUUAGAAGCAGCCAUCAUUUAAAGAAAGCGUAAUAGCUCACUGGUCGAGUCGGCCCGCGCGGAAGAUGUAACGGGGCUAAACCAUGCACCGAAGCUGCGGCAGCGACACAUAGUGUUGUUGGGUAGGGGAGCGUUCUGUAAGCCUGCGAAGGUGUACUGUGAGGUAUGCUGGAGGUAUCAGAAGUGCGAAUGCUGACAUAAGUAACGAUAAUGCGGGUGAAAAACCCGCACGCCGGAAGACCAAGGGUUCCUGUCCAACGUUAAUCGGGGCAGGGUGAGUCGACCCCUAAGGCGAGGCUGAAAAGCGUAGUCGAUGGGAAACGGGUUAAUAUUCCCGUACUGGUGGUAACUGCGAUGGGGGAACGGAGAAGGCUAGGUUGUCCGGGCGACGGUCGUCCCGGUUCAAGCAGGUAGGCAGAGUGAUUAGGCAAAUCCGGUCACUUAAUGCUGAGAUGUGAUGACGAACCACCAAGGUGGUGAAGCAAUUGAUGCCCCGCUUCCAGGAAAAGCCUCUAAGCUUCAGGUUACCAACAAUCGUACCCCAAACCGACACAGGUGGUCAGGUAGAGAAUACUCAGGCGCUUGAGAGAACUCGGGUGAAGGAACUAGGCAAAAUGGUGCCGUAACUUCGGGAGAAGGCACGCUGGCGGUAGGUAAAGUCCCUCGCGGACGGCGCCCAAGCCAGUCGAAGAUACCAGCUGGCUGCAACUGUUUAUUAAAAACACAGCACUGUGCAAACACGAAAGUGGACGUAUACGGUGUGACGCCUGCCCGGUGCUGGAAGGUUAAUUGAUGGGGUUAGCGCAAGCGAAGCUCCUGAUCGAAGCCCCAGUAAACGGCGGCCGUAACUAUAACGGUCCUAAGGUAGCGAAAUUCCUUGUCGGGUAAGUUCCGACCUGCACGAAUGGCGUAAUGAUGGCCAGGCUGUCUCCACCCGAGACUCAGUGAAAUUGAACUCGCUGUGAAGAUGCAGUGUACCCGCGGCAAGACGGAAAGACCCCGUGAACCUUUACUAUAGCUUGACACUGAACAUUGAGCCUUGAUGUGUAGGAUAGGUGGGAGGCUUUGAAGUGUGGACGCCAGUCUGCAUGGAGCCAACCUUGAAAUACCACCCUUUAACGUUUGAUGUUCUAACCUAGGCCCAUAAACUGGGUCGGGGACCGUGUCUGGUGGGUAGUUUGACUGGGGCGGUCUCCUCCUAAAGAGUAACGGAGGAGCACGAAGGUUGGCUAAGCAUGGUCGGACAUCAUGCGGUUAGUGCAAAGGCAUAAGCCAGCUUGACUGCGAGAGUGACGGCUCGAGCAGGUACGAAAGUAGGUCUUAGUGAUCCGGUGGUUCUGAAUGGAAGGGCCAUCGCUCAACGGAUAAAAGGUACUCCGGGGAUAACAGGCUGAUACCGCCCAAGAGUUCAUAUCGACGGCGGUGUUUGGCACCUCGAUGUCGGCUCAUCACAUCCUGGGGCUGAAGUAGGUCCCAAGGGUAUGGCUGUUCGCCAUUUAAAGUGGUACGCGAGCUGGGUUUAGAACGUCGUGAGACAGUUCGGUCCCUAUCUGCCGUGGGCGUUGGAAGAUUGAGAGGGGUUGCUCCUAGUACGAGAGGACCGGAGUGAACGCACCACUGGUGUUCGGGUUGUCAUGCCAAUGGCAUUGCCCGGUAGCUAAGUGCGGAAGAGAUAACCGCUGAAAGCAUCUAAGCGGGAAACUUGCCUCGAGAUGAGUCUUCCCUGUCGCUUUAAGCGACCUAAAGGAACGUUUAAGACUAAGACGUUGAUAGGCUGGGUGUGUAAGCGUAGCGAUACGUUGAGCUAACCAGUACUAAUGAACCGUGAGGCUUAACCUGACAACACCGAAAGUGUUUUG